CCUACGGGAGGCUGCAGUGGGGAAUAUUGCACAAUGGGCGCAAGCCUGAUGCAGCCAUGCCGCGUGUGUGAAGAAGGCCUUCGUGUUGUAAAGCACUUUCAGCGGGGAGGAAGGCGGUGAGGUUAAUAACCUCAUCGAUUGACGUUACCCGCAGAAGAAGCACCGACUAACUCCGUGCCAGCAGCCGCGGUAAUACGGAGGGUGCAAGCGUUAAUCGGAAUUACUGGGCGUAAAGCGCACGCAGGCGGUCUGUCAAGUCGGAUGUGAAAUCCCCGGGCUCAACCUGGGAACUGCAUUCGAAACUGGCAGGCUAGAGUCUUGUAGAGGGGGGUAGAAUUCCAGGUGUAGCGGUGAAAUGCGUAGAGAUCUGGAGGAAUACCGGUGGCGAAGGCGGCCCCCUGGACAAAGACUGACGCUCAGGUGCGAAAGCGUGGGGAGCAAACAGGAUUAGAUACCCCGGUAGUC
rnacentral:rRNA from 1 species